rnacentral:rRNA from 1 species
GAUGAACGCUGGCGGCGUGCCUAAUACAUGCAAGUCGAGCGAAUGGAUUAAGAGCUUGCUCUUAUGAAGUUAGCGGCGGACGGGUGAGUAACACGUGGGUAACCUGCCCAUAAGACUGGGAUAACUCCGGGAAACCGGGGCUAAUACCGGAUAACAUUUUGAACCGCAUGGUUCGAAAUUGAAAGGCGGCUUCGGCUGUCACUUAUGGAUGGACCCGCGUCGCAUUAGCUAGUUGGUGAGGUAACGGCUCACCAAGGCAACGAUGCGUAGCCGACCUGGAAGGGGGAUCGGGCACACUGGGACUGAGACACGGCCCAAACUCCUACGGGAGGCAGCAGUAGGGAAUCUUCCGCAAUGGACGAAAGUCUGACGGAGCAACGCCGCGUGAGUGAUGAAGGCUUUCGGGUCGUAAAACUCUGUUGUUAGGGAAGAACAAGUGCUAGUUGAAUAAGCUGGCACCUUGACGGUACCUAACCAGAAAGCCACGGCUAACUACGUGCCAGCCGCCGCAGUAA